AAGAAAGACUUGGAGUAAACAAAGGCUUCUAACCUAAGUUUGAGAGGUUCGAUCCCUAUCCUUUCUUU
rnacentral:tRNA from 1 species